rnacentral:rRNA from 1 species
GACCGAACCGACUAAUGUUGAAAAAUUAGCGGAUGACCUGUGGCUGGGGGUGAAAGGCCAAUCAAACCGGGAGAUAGCUGGUUCUCCCCGAAAGCUAUUUAGGUAGCGCCUCGUGAAUUCAUCUCCGGGGGUAGAGCACUGUUUCGGCUAGGGGGCCAUCCCGGCUUACCAACCCGAUGCAAACUGCGAAUACCGGAGAAUGUUAUCACGGGAGACACACGGCGGGUGCUAACGUCCGUCGUGAAGAGGGAAACAACCCAGACCGCCAGCUAAGGUCCCAAAGUCAUGGUUAAGUGGGAAACGAUGUGGGAAGGCCCAGACAGCCAGGAUGUUGGCUUAGAAGCAGCCAUCAUUUAAAGAAAGCGUAAUAGCUCACUGGUCGAGUCGGCCUGCGCGGAAGAUGUAACGGGGCUAAACCAUGCACCGAAGCUGCGGCAGCGACACUCAGGUGUUGUUGGGUAGGGGAGCGUUCUGUAAGCCUG